rnacentral:snRNA from 1 species
AUCACUUCUUGGCCUUUUGGCUAAGAUCAAGUGUAAACUUGUGCACAUUCAUUUGUUCUCAAUUUAUUAAGAAUUCCUCUCUAGAACAUUAGUAUACUUCAUGGCAAGACUACUGUCUUGAAUUAUGAAACCAUCA